rfam:Cryptococcus dejecticola CBS 10117 unplaced genomic scaffold supercont1.4, whole genome shotgun sequence.
GGAGCUGUAGUUCAAUUGGUAGAAUAGUAGAUUCCAAUUUGGCAACGGUUGGAUCAUCUAUUGGUCGCAAGUUCGAUUCCUGUCAGCUUCA